rnacentral:tRNA from 1 species
AGCCCGUUUGGCUAAGUGGUAUAGCGUCUCACUAGUAAUACCUCUUAAUGAUCCCAAGCUAUGAGAAGAUCAUCAGUUCGAUUCUGAUAAUGGGCAUCUCG